AUGUCGGAUUUCAUAGCUUGGAGCUUUACAAAGAAUGGACUGUUCACGGUUCGUUCUGCUUAUCUGGAGGAAUGGAAAGCCCAACAUGGGAGGAAAUUGCAACACUCAGAUGGCAUUGGAGGAAUAAAUGUCAAUACUAUUUGGAGCAAGAUUUGGAAAUUAUCUUGUCCAGCAAAAGUGAAGAUCUUUAUUUGGCGUACCUUACAUGGAACCCUCCCGUGUCGUGUUACACUUGCUAAUAGACAUAUGAAAGUUUCGCCCACCUGCCCAUCAUGUUCAAACGGGCAUGAAGAUACAAAACACUUAUUAUUUUUAUGUCAAAAGGCAAAAGAGGUGUGGGAGAAACUGGGAUUGCACGAAGCCAUUAAAAAAGCCUGUGCGGUCGAUCGUGCGGGAGAGGCAGUACUUGAAUUUCUAAUUUUUAUGCCAGAACAUGAGCUAUCUAUAUUGGGCACACAGAAUGUUCGCGAACUGAUCGCUAUAACAGCCUGGUAUUUAUGGUGGGAAAGACGUUCGCUAGUUCAUCAGGGGAAGACCCAAGAUGCAUACCAAAUUUCGAUGGGAGCCCGUGCUAUAACGACGAACCAACCCGUAGUUGAAUGGUUAGGAGACAGUGGCAUCCCCAGCCAAUGCUCGCAUUGUAUUUAUUUUGGAUUCUGA
rnacentral:rRNA from 1 species